UACGAAGGGGGCUAGCGUUGUUCGGAUUUACUGGGCGUAAAGCGCACGUAGGCGGAUCUUUAAGUCAGACGUGAAAUCCCUUGGCUUAACCAAGGAAGUGCAUCUGAUACUGCUUCGCUUGAGUGUCGGAGGGGAUGGCGGAAUUCCCGGUGUAGAGGUGAAAUUCGUAGAUAUCGGGAGGAACACCUGUGGCGAAGGCGGCCAUCUGGACGACAACUGACGCUGAGACGCGAAAGCGUGGGUAGCAAACAGG
rnacentral:rRNA from 1 species